GUCUCAGUAGCAUACUGGUUAGUGCACUUCCCCGGAUAGUUUGAGACGCGGGUUCGAAUCCCGCCUGAGAUG
rnacentral:tRNA from 1 species